GCCAGCAGCAAUAUCACGUUGAAUGCAUCAAUUCCUCAUGAAUCACUGAUGUUAAGACAACGUUUCACGUGGUGAGUAUCCGAAUGGGUGACUAACUGGGCAUUCGCGUGCUGCUGACU
rfam:Asian citrus Psyllid, Diaphorina citri - Florida Strain, whole genome shotgun sequence.